rnacentral:rRNA from 1 species
AGACCCGAAACCCGGUGAUCUAGCCAUGGGCAGGUUGAAGGUUGGGUAACACUAACUGGAGGACCGAACCGACUAAUGUUGAAAAAUUAGCGGAUGACCUGUGGCUGGGGGUGAAAGGCCAAUCAAACCGGGAGAUAGCUGGUUCUCCCCGAAAGCUAUUUAGGUAGCGCCUCGUGAAUUCAUCUCCGGGGGUAGAGCACUGUUUCGGCUAGGGGGCCAUCCCGGCUUACCAACCCGAUGCAAACUGCGAAUACCGGAGAAUGUUAUCACGGGAGACACACGGCGGGUGCUAACGUCCGUCGUGAAGAGGGAAACAACCCAGACCGCCAGCUAAGGUCCCAAAGUCAUGGUUAAGUGGGAAACGAUGUGGGAAGGCCCAGACAGCCAGGAUGUUGGCUUAGAAGCAGCCAUCAUUUAAAGAAAGCGUAAUAGCUCACUGGUCGAGUCGGCCUGCGCGGAAGAUGUAACGGGGCUAAACCAUGCACCGAAGCUGCGGCAGCGACGCUUAUGCGUUGUUGGGUAGGGGAGCGUUCUGUAAGCCUGUGAAGGUGUGUCGUGAGGCA